UCGUCGACGGAGGGCCGUCGUUCAUCGCAGCCCUUUAAUUUACAGCCGCAUCCAUAUAAACAUGUGGACAAGUGAAAUCACAAAUUGAAUCGGUCGUUUAAAAAAGGAAUGUUACUUUCUGACCCUACGAGUAACACGAGUCGUGUUAACGUUUCGCUCUACACGUCCGCGUAAUUAAACAAGCUUACCUAUGUCACAUCUUGUCAUAAAAAGAUUCACGCGAGAUAAAAUUGAUUUCCUGCAAGUACGUAAACGAUUUAGAGGUAGCUGGAUCAAUAAAACCAAGAAAAUGAAAACAGAUUACGGUCUCGUAGAUGAUUAAACGUGGAAAUUGUGCCACAGAGAUAUAAACGCGUGUCCAUUCGAUAUGUGCACAAUGCCGCGUGUGUGGUCUAAUUAAUUAAUAAAUUUUGAGAUCAAAGUAAGUGUGUGACAAUCCUUGGGCAAGCAUGCGAGCUAGAGCAUCCGCUGAUAGUCGUGCAGAUACGUUGCAUAUUAAGGGAGAGCGGGUACACCGGAAGAUGCUCUGCAAUCAUUCUUCGGGCAAUUUAGAGACGGACGACCGGCCUAAAACGAAAGUUCAAGAGAGGAUACGCUAUGUCAAAGUUAAGUCUGGAACAUGGAUUACGUAUACUCACGAAGACGUAGUUAACCCCACGCUAGCACUGAUAUACUAAUUGAAUUAGUUAUUUCGAAGCAGAAAGUUAAGGGCACGUCUGCGCCAAGUUUUCAACAUGAAAUAGCUGGCAGAAUCGACGUGCUAGCACGCCGAGUUCGAAAGUUCUUAUUAACCCGGAAGUUUCGUUCGGUAUCGCGCCUGAGUGUUAUUUAAUUACUAAUUCGAAGAAUAUGUGGCUCCGCGCGCUUUUAUGAGGGACGGAGGGAGAACUUUCCCCCGAUUAAUUUCGACGCCCCGAGGGCCGGCAUUGAUUAUUAAUAACAGAUACCGGAAUGCGCGAUGUGCAGGGGUCGUAAUUUCUGCGGGAUCCACCCGCUGUCCGCCCCUGUGAAAGACUGUCUGUUUUAAUUACCGCAAUCGCCCCCAUCAAUUUUUCCGCGUUUUAUUUAUUUAUUCAUUUAUUUCCAUUUUUUUCUCCUCUUUUUGUCCCGUUUUUUAGUUUUUAUUUUACGAACGCCCGCGCACCCUCGCCUUUCAACAAUUACUCGGUGGAUGCUGUUGUUGUCUCGUGAAAUGCCGCUUAAAACGAGAGGAUGAAUAAUUAUAAUCUCGCAUUAGCCGUAGGCGCGUACUUAUCGAGAUCUAAUUUGUGCACGAUAAUAUUCGCAUCGUCAAAAUUAGGGGAAUUAAUUUAUUUUAUCGCAAGUAAAAUCCCCUACUCGAAGCUUUUCAAUCUCCCACUCUGGAAGAGUGCACUUAUUCUCCUCCUUUUACCGUAAAUGCAUGCACGGCACGAUCAGUGUACAAUUAAAAUACUUGAUGUAUACAAAACACUUUCCUCUAGCAAUAAUUAAAAUAAAGUUUUUAACGGUAAGUUCCUUGAUGCAUUACAAGUCGACUUUUUCUUCUAAAUAAAAGAUGUGGAUAGAUGUUUAACGAUCAAAUGCAGCAAACUGCAUUUUUCAAUAUUUGAUAGAAACAAUAUGUUUUUCGGUAGCACGAUUUUAAUGACAAAUAAUUGCGAUUAAGCUCUCACCUAUAUAUCUAUAUAGCAAGAGAACAUCGGCUUACGAGAAAAAGCUUGCUCGCGGAGGAAAAAUCUGGCUUUAGUGUCAGAUGCGGUGAGAACGGAACGCUGCAUCCGCGGGAAAUAGCGUAUUAACGUAAGAUCCGCGUUUAACAAGAUAUUUGUAGCAUUCGGAAAAUACGACGGAUUGUAUGGCGAAUCGCGUGUAGAAGGAGCUAAUGGCAUGCCAGGACUAGUGUUGGGUCAUUCCACUUGCACGGAUUGCAUAUAGGUUUACAGUAGUACCGCGAGAUACCAGCGUGGUCUUGCCAUGCUACGGGAGAUAUAAGCCGCUUUAUGUUCUCCUGUCCCAUCUACAGCUGUAACGUUGUCGCGUGAUGUUAGUGCCGGCGGACAGAUAGGAGGCCAACUCGUGAAUUAAAGCGGAUAUCCCCCUCUCGACGCUUUAUCGAUCUCCCACCGAUCUCGUGAACUGCCGAUGUAAAAACGCACGCAUAAUUAAUCGGCGAGUCUUCCUGAUUAUGUCCACCGUUGCGAUAUCCUUACCCUCCAUUAGCAUUCAUUCAUUUUUCAUGCAACCUGCAGAUGCGACUCAUGCAACACGCAACCAGCGAUGACUCGCACCGAGAAACAUCCGUUCUCUGGACAAGGUGACGAGGGAUUGAAUUGUUACUUGAAGGCAACGUCGUCUUCGUAUGACUGGCGGAUGGGUGUUUUUUUUUACGUUCGCGACAUGAUUCUCUGAUUUUAAAUUGCGACGUCGUAGAACGUUUCGGCUGUCGUAUACGCGGCUCCGUGCGUGACACGGGGCACAACGUGUACGUGCGGCCGGCCUCCAUGAAUUUCCACGGUGGUACACGGCGAGUGCACUCUCGCAUGCUUGAAGUUUCGAUGUGUUUUCGUCGACGUGAUGCUCGAACGAUCGCGUGCUGAUUGGGCGGCAUUUGCCGGGCUACUGUCGGACCGCUCCCACUUGUGAGAUCAAGAGUACGGAAUACACUGAUUGCAGGCUUGUAGCUCGGCGCGUUGGAGUUCUCUCCCGGCCCGUGCUUGUGUCGUCUGUUCGUGAAAGUUAUCAUCGCUCGAAUGAAGUUUGCACUUUUCCGCGCACGUAAAAAGAUCAUCACGAUUCUGAGAGUAAGAAAAGAAAAAAAGAUUAAAUAAAAAGGAAGCUUGGGGAUGAUCGUUGCGUCACCGAUAAGGUGCACGGCAGAACGUAAUUAAGCGGAGGAGCUGAGCAAUGAUAACGAUCUGGUAUUAUAACUUAUAUCAAAGAUAUAUAUUGCUUUUAUAGUUCUCUAUUAUUUUCGGAUAAAAGGACAGUUGUGUCGAAUCUGUGUAUUUUCAUGAUUAAUUCCUAUGUAAUUCCUAUGUAAUGGCAUGAUUGUUACAUGAUAUAUCUGAAACGUUCAAGUUUUCAAAUAAACCUUAUUGGAUUUCUAAAA